rnacentral:rRNA from 1 species
GUCUCAGUUCGGAUUGGAGUCUGNAACCCGACUCCAUGAAGCUGGAUUCGCUAGUAAUCGCGCAUCAGCCACGGCGCGGUGAAUACGUUCCCGGGCCUUGUACACACCGCCCGUCACACCAUGAGAGUUUGUAACACCCAAAGCCGGUGGGGUAACCUUUUGGAGCCAGCCGUCUAAGGUGGGACAGAUGAUUGGGGUGAAGUCGUAACAAGGUAUC